rnacentral:rRNA from 1 species
UACGAAGGGGGCUAGCGUUGCUCGGAAUCACUGGGCGUAAAGCGCACGUAGGCGGAUCUUUAAGUCAGGGGUGAAAUCCCAAGGCUCAACCUUGGAACUGCCUUUGAUACUGGGGAUCUCGUGUCCGGAAGAGGUGAGUGGAACUGCGAGUGUAGAGGUGAAAUUCGUAGAUAUUCGCAAGAACACCAGUGGCGAAGGCGGCUCACUGGUCCGGUACUGACGCUGAGGUGCGAAAGCGUGGGGAGCAAACAGG